AUUCUAAGCGCUGUUUACCAUAUAAAUGAACCGACGCCAACGUCCAUUUUUUUAAAUACAAACACCGUGUUGUAUUCAAUGUUUGUUCUGUCUCCUGAUUUCGGACACGUGUUUGCUGGAAAAACUUUUUUUUUCUUCUUUUCACUGCACUUGACUUUUAAAAAUGCAAGGACAUUUAGGAAGCGUGCCCCAGGGACCGUCCACUCCACAUCAUCAUACAAAUGGCGCAUUAGCCCCGCGACCGGACGCACCUUAUCUGCCUCUCAACUAUAUUUGUUCUGCAACGGAUUACAAGAGAUUUACCACGGUCACUGACCAUUAGCAACAGAUUUCCCGUCCUGUGCAAAGAGAAAUUACUUUCAAUGUUUAUUUGAUAUUUUUUAACAUAAUAUCAUAACCAUGUUUUUUGUAUGUACCUAUUAUACCUAAAUUGUCUAGUAGAAAUUUGUAUUCAUUAUUUGACUUUUUUAUUACAAAAUUCAAUAUCAGAAAUUAAUAAAAAGAAAAAAAAAUUUUUUUACUAAACAUGUGA